ensembl:lncRNA
UGCCUGUAGGUCACCUGACCUGGGUCCUCUGCCUUCUUCUCAUCUUGUCGUGCUCGCUUUCGGAUCGUCUCGCUGCUGCUCCCGACUGCACGCAAGGCUUCGGUAUUAGUAUGUGACCUUCAGCUUAUUUUCAAAAAUGCCUGUGCCAUGGAAGAGAAAACGUGGGGUGACAAGAGGAAAGGAUCAGAGCAAAGCAGAGCUGCUGGAAACACAGAUACAGUUGGAAGUUGUGGGUCCUCCAAGAACACACGAUGCAGGAUCUAUAUUUCAGAAGGAAUGAAGGGAAGAUGAAGGUUUCAAGGUUCCUGGCAUCCUAUGUUGCAGCUGUCAGUUGAGGUUCAGGCUGGAUAUCAGGAAAAGGUACUUCACCAGGGGGUGGCCAGGCACUGGAACAGGCUCCCCAGGCCAGUAAGAAGCAUCUAGAUAAUGUUCUCAGACAUGGGGUCUGAUUUUUGUGUGGAGCCAGGAGUUGGACUCAACCUUUACAGGUCCCCCUUCCAACUAAUGAUAUUCUAUGAUUCUAUGAACUGGCAAUAUGGUUUAAAGGUCUCUUUCUCCUCUUCCUAACCAGAAGCACCAUCAGCUGCAUAGUGAGAAAGAAAAAGGGGGAUGAUAAUUACCCUCUUGCACAGCCCAUCAAGAUCAGAGAGAUGAUCUGCCGAAGACCUUGAUAGCUUCAUCAUAUGUUUUUCUCUCUUUUUAUUGUCAUAAUGAAGGAUUCAAAUGGUAACAUCAACUCUGAGCACAGAUAGGCACUAGCAUUUUCUGAUUCAGCAUUUAUCUAUGAUACUUUGGUUUUACACUAAUAGUUGACAGGCUGAAGCUCAGUGAAGCCAUAAUCCUAAAAGUAAAAACAAUGAAACAAUCAGCUGAUAGAAAUAGCAAUAGGACCUAUUUUAAGAGGAUGCAUAUGUGUAUAUAAAUAAAGAAAUAUUAAAUCAAAAUUUGCCUGUCAUAAAGUCAUUGUAUCAAAAUAACAGGAAUGAUUUAGAUUUCUGAGGACAGUACUUCUUUCAAUCCACAGUUUAAAUAAAGGCACGCAGAAUUACUGAAGCUUUAGCUGCCCUUUGUUCUCAAGGGAAAAAAAAAAAAAAAAAAAGACCAUAUGAAAAAAACAAUGAGAUAAAAUGGUGUCCGAAAGAAGAAUUAUUUAGCUGAUGGUGUAUCUUAAUACAUUGAGUCAGUCACUCUAACGACUGGACAGCAAUCCUGAGACAUCUGCGAUGAGUUCACCUAACACUGAAUUUUGAGGCCCUGUGAUUAUAAAGUAGCUAUAUGAUCGUGUCCAUUCUCUGUUAGCUUUUGUUUGUAUGUUUCACUUGCUAAAAAAGUAUUUUUAGCUUACAAAACAGGCAUAAUAAGUGAAACUCAGAACUGUGACCCAGAAAGAUCAUAUUAAAUGGGAUUUUUCUCUGUCA